CUUGUGAGUAGCAUGCACAUGAAGGGGAUCUACACACUUUCUGUCUGCUAUAGCUGUAGUAUUGUGUCUUGGUGAAGUUUAAGUAGUCAGGGCAGAAGGAAGAACUCUGCAGUCAGUAAUGGUGACAAGUGAGGCAGGAGGAACAACAUUUGAAGAAGGAGGAAUGUGAGCAGUAAGAGGUUUAAAAAGCCCACAGGAGGACUUACUGCAGCAGCAUGAGGUAAGGAAACUCUGUGGGCUAGUGCCUAGGCAAUGACAUUGGACGGCCUAGAGAGUGACAGGAAAUGCUUCCUCCUGUGUCUGCAUUCACAAUAUGAAAAUUGCAAAUUGGAGAGACUUUUGGCAACUUAUACUACCUGGACAAUAGCAACAUUAUAGCAGUCAAACCCUCAACCUCAGUAUAAGGACUGUGUGAGGUUCAGGAGAAGCAAUUUGGAUGUAUAUAUAGAAUAUGAGACACAAUUGGACAUUCAGCUUUGGGUAAAGAAAUAAAGUGUUAAA
rnacentral:lncRNA from 1 species